UGCAGCAUGGCAUAGUGGUUUGAGUGUUGGACUACAACUCUUGGAACCAGAGUUCGAUUCGCUGCUCAGCCA